rnacentral:rRNA from 1 species
GACGAACGCUGGCGGCGUGCUUAACACAUGCAAGUCGAACGGAAUCCAUGGAGCUUGCUCCGGAAGAUUUAGUGGCGAACGGGUGAGGAACACGUGAGAAACCUGCCCCGAACUUUGGGAUAACAGUUGGAAACGACUGCUAAUACCAAAUACCUCCGCGAUGUGGCAUCACAUUGCGAAGAAAGAAUUUCGGUUCGGGAGGGUCUCGCGGCCUAUCAGCUAGUUGGUGGGGUAAUGGCCUACCAAGGCAUCGACGGGUAGCUGGUCUGAGAGGAUGAUCAGCCACACUGGGACUGAGACACGGCCCAGACUCCUACGGGAGGCAGCAGUGGGGAAUCUUGUGCAAUGGGGGCAACCCUGACACAGCCACGCCGCGUGCGGGAAGAAGGCCUUCGGGUCGUAAACCGCUUUCAGCAGGAACGAAAAUGACGGUACCUGCAGAAGAAGGUGCGGCCAACUACGUGCCAGCAGCCGCGGUAA